AUUGAACGCUGGCGGCAUGCCUUACACAUGCAAGUCGAACGGCAGCGGGGGAGAAGCUUGCUUUUCCUGCCGGCGAGUGGCGAACGGGUGAGUAAUACAUCGGAACGUGCCCUGUAGUGGGGGAUAACUAGUCGAAAGAUUAGCUAAUACCGCAUACGACCUGAGGGUGAAAGGGGGGGACCGCAAGGCCUCAUGCUAUAGGAGCGGCCGAUGUCUGAUUAGCUAGUUGGUGGGGUAAAGGCCUACCAAGGCGACGAUCAGUAGCUGGUCUGAGAGGACGAUCAGCCACACUGGGACUGAGACACGGCCCAGACUCCUACGGGAGGCGGCAGUGGGGAAUUUUGGACAAUGGGCGAAAGCCUGAUCCAGCAAUGCCGCGUGUGUGAAGAAGGCCUUCGGGUUGUAAAGCACUUUUGUCCGGAAAGAAAUAGCUCUGGUUAAUACCUGGGGUCGAUGACGGUACCGGAAGAAUAAGGACCGGCUAACUACGUGCCAGCCGCCGCAGUAA
rnacentral:rRNA from 1 species